GAUGAACGCUGGCGGCGUGCCUAAUACAUGCAAGUCGAGCGAACAGACGAGGAGCUUGCUCCUCUGACGUUAGCGGCGGACGGGUGAGUAACACGUGGAUAACCUACCUAUAAGACUGGGAUAACUUCGGGAAACCGGAGCUAAUACCGGAUAAUAUAUUGAACCGCAUUGUUCAAUAGUGAAAGACGGUUUUGCUGUCACUUAUAGAUGGAUCCGCGCCGCAUUAGUUAGUUGGUUAGGUAACGGCUUACCAAGGCAACGAUGCGUAGCCGACCUGAGAGGGUGAUCGGCCACACUGGAACUGAGACACGUUCCAGACUCCUACGGGAGGCAGCAGUAGGGAAUCUUCCGCAAUGGACGAAAGCCUGACGGAGCAACGCCGCGUGAGUGAUGAAGGUCUUCGGAUCGUAAAGCUCUGUUAUUAGGGAAGAACAAAUGUGUAAGUAACUAUGCACGUCUUGACGGUACCUAAUCAGAAAGCCACGGCUAACUACGUG
rnacentral:rRNA from 1 species